rnacentral:tRNA from 1 species
UAAGGUCGAUGGGGUUUGAACCCAUAUACUAUUGAUUAAGAAUCAAUAACUUUACCUAUUAAGUUACAACCUU